GGGGGUAAAGCGAGUGGAGGCGGUUGCUUAGGUCUGAUGUGAAAGCCUUCGGCUUAACCGAAGAAGUGCAUCGGAAACCGGGCGACUUGAGUGCAGAAGAGGACAGUGGAACUCCAUGUGUAGCGGUGGAAUGCGUAGAUAUAUGGAAGAACACCAGUGGCGAAGGCGGCUGUCUGGUCUGCAACUGACGCUGAGGCUCGAAAGCAUGGGUAGCGAACAGGAUUAGAUACCCUGGUAGUCCAUGCCGUAAACGAUGAGUGCUAGGUGUUGGAGGGUUUCCGCCCUUCAGUGCCGGAGCUAACGCAUUAAGCACUCCGCCUGGGGAGUACGACCGCAAGGUUGAAACUCAAAGGAAUUGACGGGGGCCCGCACAAGCGGUGGAGCAUGUGGUUUAAUUCGAAGCUACGCGAAGAACCUUACCAGGUCUUGACAUCUUGCGCUAACCUUAGAGAUAAGGCGUUCCCUUCGGGGACGCAAUGACAGGUGGUGCAUGGUCGUCGUCAGCUCGUGUCGUGAGAUGUUGGGUUAAGUCCCGCAACGAGCGCAACCCUUGUUACUAGUUGCCAGCAUUAAGUUGGGCACUCUAGUGAGACUGCCGGUGACAAACCGGAGGAAGGUGGGGACGACGUCAGAUCAUCAUGCCCCUUAUGACCUGGGCUACACACGUGCUACAAUGGACGGUACAACGAGUCGCAAGCUCGCGAGAGUAAGCUAAUCUCUUAAAGCCGUUCUCAGUUCGGACUGUAGGCUGCAACUCGCCUACACGAAGUCGGAAUCGCUAGUAAUCGCGGAUCAGCAUGCCGCGGUGAAUACGUUCCCGGGCCUUGUACACACCGCCCGUCACACCAUGGGCGU
rnacentral:rRNA from 2 species